rnacentral:rRNA from 1 species
UAAUACUAGCGGUCCGAGUCGCAGCCAUUUUUAUUGGGUCUAAAACAUCCGUAGCUUGCUUGAUAAGUUUCUUGUGAAAUUUUAUGUCUUAAACAUGAAGCGUGCAAGAAGUACUGUCAAGCUAGAGACUGGUAGACGUAAGAAGUACGUUCAGAGUAGCGGUAAAAUGUGUUAAUCCUGAACGGACUCACAAAGCGAAGGCAUCUUACGAGAGCAGUUCUGACAGUAAGGGAUGAAGGCUAGGGGCGCAAAACGGAUUAGAUACCCGUGUAGUCCUAGCAGUAAACUCUGCACACUAAACAUUAGUACCUCCUCGAGAGGUAUUAGUGCUGAAGGGAAGCCGAAGAGUGUGCUACCUGGGAAGUAUAGUCGCAAGGCCG